CACAGCACCAGCUCCAGGCACGACGCGAACACCAGCAGCGAGAAGAGCGUCACGUUCCAGUACACCACGCGGGGCGGUUCCUCGCACGCGUCCCACAGCGUGCGGUUGCGCAACAGCCCGCGCCGCAGCAGCCCUUGCCCCCUGCGCGGACGGCGGCGAUGCCGGGACACAGCACCUGUGGAGGAAGGACAGUGUGGCAGCCAGCCCCCGCCCGUUCUCAGCGCCUUCCUGCCUCGGCGCUCACCUCCUCCUGGGGGGGCUUAGGAUGCCCUCAGCCCUUCGGACUGUAGGAAGACCUUCUCUCUACUGCCCCUGUAGUGCAUUGGGGCUCUACCUCGAUUUAUCAUUAUUUACGUGUCUGCUUAUCUGUGUUCACAUGGCCUCCACGAGGUAAGGCCCCAUAUCAGGACGUCCUCUGCAAAUCUUGACACACAGCAGGGGCCCUCCUGAACCGGAGUCAGGGGGCUUGGGGUUCAUGCCAA